rnacentral:rRNA from 1 species
UACGGGGGGAGCAAGCGUUGUUCGGAGUUACUGGGCGUAAAGAGUGCGUAGGUGGUGCCCUAAGUCUGUUGUGAAAUCUCCCGGCUUAACUGGGAGGGUGCGGUGGAAACUGGGGUGCUUGAGUGUGGGAGAGGUAAGCGGAAUUCCUGGUGUAGCGGUGAAAUGCGUAGAUAUCAGGAGGAACACCGGUGGUGUAGACGGCUUACUGGACCACGACUGACACUGAGGCACGAAAGCGUGGGUAGCAAACAGG